UUAAGCGACUAAGCGUACACGGUGGAUGCCCUGGCAGUCAGAGGCGAUGAAGGACGUGCUAAUCUGCGAAAAGCGUCGGUAAGGUGAUAUGAACCGUUAUAACCGGCGAUGUCCGAAUGGGGAAACCCAGUGCAAUUCGUUGCACUAUCGUUAACUGAAUACAUAGGUUAACGAGGCGAACCGGGGGAACUGAAACAUCUAAGUACCCCGAGGAAAAGAAAUCAACCGAGAUUCCCCCAGUAGCGGCGAGCGAACGGGGAGCAGCCCAGAGUCUGAAUCAGCUUGUGUGUUAGUGGAACGGUCUGGAAAGUCCGACGGUACAGGGUGAUAGUCCCGUACACCAAAAUGCACAGGUUGUGAACUCGAAGAGUAGGGCGGGACACGUGGUAUCCUGUCUGAAUAUGGGGGGACCAUCCUCCAAGGCUAAAUACUCCUGACUGACCGAUAGUGAACCAGUACCGUGAGGGAAAGGCGAAAAGAACCCCGGCGAGGGGAGUGAAAAAGAACCUGAAACCGUGUACGUACAAGCAGUGGGAGCACCUUCGGGUGUGACUGCGUACCUUUUGUAUAAUGGGUCAGCGACUUAUAUUCUGUAGCAAGGUUAACCGUAUAGGGGAGCCGCAGGGAAACCGAGUCUUAACUGGGCGUUAAGUUGCAGGGUAUAGACCCGAAACCCGGUGAUCUAGCCAUGGGCAGGUUGAAGGUUGGGUAACACUAACUGGAGGACCGAACCGACUAAUGUUGAAAAAUUAGCGGAUGACUUGUGGCUGGGGGUGAAAGGCCAAUCAAACCGGGAGAUAGCUGGUUCUCCCCGAAAGCUAUUUAGGUAGCGCCUCGUGAAUUCAUCUUCGGGGGUAGAGCACUGUUUCGGCUAGGGGGUCAUCCCGACUUACCAACCCGAUGCAAACUACGAAUACCGAAGAAUGUUAUCACGGGAGACACACGGCGGGUGCUAACGUCCGUCGUGAAGAGGGAAACAACCCAGACCGCCAGCUAAGGUCCCAAAGUCAUGGUUAAGUGGGAAACGAUGUGGGAAGGCACAGACAGCCAGGAUGUUGGCUUAGAAGCAGCCAUCAUUUAAAGAAAGCGUAAUAGCUCACUGGUCGAGUCGGCCUGCGCGGAAGAUGUAACGGGGCUAAACCAUGCACCGAAGCUGCGGCAGCGACACUAUGUGUUGUUGGGUAGGGGAGCGUUCUGUAAGCCUGCGAAGGUGACCUGUGAGGGUUGCUGGAGGUAUCAGAAGUGCGAAUGCUGACAUAAGUAACGAUAAAGCGGGUGAAAAGCCCGCUCGCCGGAAGACCAAGGGUUCCUGUCCAACGUUAAUCGGGGCAGGGUGAGUCGACCCCUAAGGCGAGGCCGAAAGGCGUAGUCGAUGGGAAACAGGUUAAUAUUCCUGUACUUGGUGUUACUGCGAAGGGGGGACGGAGAAGGCUAUGUUAGCCGGGCGACGGUUGUCCCGGUUUAAGCAUGUAGGCUGAUUGUCCAGGCAAAUCCGGAUAAUCAAGGCUGAGGUGUGAUGACGAGGCACUACGGUGCUGAAGUAACAAAUGCCCUGCUUCCAGGAAAAGCCUCUAAGCAUCAGGUAACAUCAAAUCGUACCCCAAACCGACACAGGUGGUCAGGUAGAGAAUACCAAGGCGCUUGAGAGAACUCGGGUGAAGGAACUAGGCAAAAUGGUGCCGUAACUUCGGGAGAAGGCACGCUGGUGUGUAGGUGAAGCCCCUGCGGGUGGAGCUGAGACCAGUCGAAGAUACCAGCUGGCUGCAACUGUUUAUUAAAAACACAGCACUGUGCAAACACGAAAGUGGACGUAUACGGUGUGACGCCUGCCCGGUGCCGGAAGGUUAAUUGAUGGGGUUAUCCGUAAGGAGAAGCUCUUGAUCGAAGCCCCGGUAAACGGCGGCCGUAACUAUAACGGUCCUAAGGUAGCGAAAUUCCUUGUCGGGUAAGUUCCGACCUGCACGAAUGGCGUAAUGAUGGCCAGGCUGUCUCCACCCGAGACUCAGUGAAAUUGAACUCGCUGUGAAGAUGCAGUGUACCCGCGGCAAGACGGAAAGACCCCGUGAACCUUUACUAUAGCUUGACACUGAACAUUGAGCCUUGAUGUGUAGGAUAGGUGGGAGGCUUUGAAGCGUGGACGCCAGUCUGCGUGGAGCCAACCUUGAAAUACCACCCUUUAAUGUUUGAUGUUCUAACGUUGGCCCCUGACCGGGGUUGCGGACAGUGUCUGGUGGGUAGUUUGACUGGGGCGGUCUCCUCCCAAAGCGUAACGGAGGAGCACGAAGGUUAGCUAAUCCUGGUCGGACAUCAGGAGGUUAGUGCAAUGGCAUAAGCUAGCUUGACUGCGAGCGUGACGGCGCGAGCAGGUGCGAAAGCAGGUCAUAGUGAUCCGGUGGUUCUGAAUGGAAGGGCCAUCGCUCAACGGAUAAAAGGUACUCCGGGGAUAACAGGCUGAUACCGCCCAAGAGUUCAUAUCGACGGCGGUGUUUGGCACCUCGAUGUCGGCUCAUCACAUCCUGGGGCUGAAGUAGGUCCCAAGGGUAUGGCUGUUCGCCAUUUAAAGUGGUACGCGAGCUGGGUUUAGAACGUCGUGAGACAGUUCGGUCCCUAUCUGCCGUGGGCGCUGGAGAAUUGAGGGGGGCUGCUCCUAGUACGAGAGGACCGGAGUGGACGCAUCACUGGUGUUCGGGUUGUCAUGCCAAUGGCACUGCCCGGUAGCUAAAUGCGGAAGAGAUAAGUGCUGAAAGCAUCUAAGCACGAAACUUGCCCCGAGAUGAGUUCUCCCUGAGACUUUAAGUCUCCUGAAGGAACGUUGAAGACGACGACGUUGAUAGGCCGGGUGUGUAAGCGCAGCGAUGCGUUGAGCUAACCGGUACUAAUGAACCGUGAGGCUUAACCUU
rnacentral:rRNA from 1 species